rnacentral:rRNA from 1 species
UGAGGAAUAUUGCGCAAUGGGGGAAACCCUGACGCAGCGACGCCGCGUGGAUGAUGAAGGCCUUCGGGUCGUAAAAUCCUGUCAGGUGGAAAGAAGUGUAGUAUACCUAAUACGUGUACUAUUUGACGGUACCACCAAAGGAAGCACCGGCUAACUCCGUGCCAGCAGCCGCGGUAAUACGGAGGGUGCAAGCGUUGUUCGGAAUUACUGGGCGUAACGCGCGCGUAGGCGGCUAUUUAAGUCAGAUGUGAAAGUCCACGGCUCAACCGUGGAAGUGCAUUUGAAACUGAAUGGCUUGAGUAC